rnacentral:rRNA from 1 species
UCGGGUGGCGGACAGUGGCAGACGGGUGAGUAACGCGUGGGAACGUACCCUUUGGUUCGGGACAACUCUGGGAAACUGGAGCUAAUACCGGAUGUGCCCUUCGGGGGAAAGAUUUAUCGCCAAAGGAUCGGCCCGCGUCGGAUUAGUUUGUUGGUGGGGUAAUGGCCUACCAAGACUAUGAUCCGUAGCUGGUCUGAGAGGAUGAUCAGCCACACUGGGACUGAGACACGGCCCAGACUCC